UACGGAGGGUGCGAGCGUUGUCCGGAUUUAUUGGGUUUAAAGGAUGCGUAGGUGGCUUGUUAAGUCAGUGGUGAAAUACAGCCGCUCAACGGUUGAGGUGCCAUUGAUACUGACAAGCUUGAAACAAGUGGAGGUUGCCGGAAUGGAUGGUGUAGCGGUGAAAUGCAUAGAUAUCAUCCAGAACACCGAUUGCGAAGGCAGGUGACUACGUUUGAUUUGACACUGAGGCACGAAAGCAUGGGGAGCAAACAGGG
rnacentral:rRNA from 1 species